AGCGAACGCUGGCGGCAGGCUUAACACAUGCCAGUCGAGCGGGCAUCCUUGUGGUGUCAGCGGCAGUCGGGUGAGUAACGCGUGGGAACGUGCCCUUCGGUUCGGAAUAACUCAGGGAAACUUGAGCUAAUACCGGAUACGUGCGAGAGCAGAAAGGUUUAUCUGCCGAAGGAUCGGCCCGCGUCUGAUUAGCUAGUUGGUGAGGUUAUGGCUCACCAAGGCGACGAUCAGUAGCUGGUCUGAGAGGAUGAUCAGCCACACUGGGACUGAGAUACGGCCCAGACUCCUACGGGAGGCAGCAGUGGGGAAUAUUGGACAAUGGGGGCAACCCUGAUCCAGCCAUGCCGCGUGAGUGAUGACGGCCUUAGGGUUGUAAAGCUCUUUUCUCCGGGACGAUAAUGACGGUACCGGAGGAAUAAGCCCCGGCUAACUUCGUG
rnacentral:rRNA from 1 species